AAUGGCUGACAACAAUGAAACAGCCAGGAGAGCAGUGGCGAUGAUUCUGACAACGUCACUGCUCUCUUGGCUGUUUCAUUGUUGUCAGCCAUU
rnacentral:pre_miRNA from 1 species